GCACUACUUGUCCUUUUAUUUACACUGGAAAUUAAAUUGAAUUAAAAUGAUACUGAUUUCUUUGUCCAAAACAUGAACUAAUGAAAGGUAUGGUUUAAGCUGCUCAGUCAGCAAACCAACCAAUGAAGGCAUCUAUGUCUGUUUAAUUUUGGAGUUUUGUCUUAACUUAUGAUAUUUUUUAUACAUUUUUUUUUAUCAUUGUUCAAAGCAAGAAGUGAAUAGUUGUAUAUGUUAACAAUUCCUUAAAAAAACAACAGCAUAUUACAUUUUGAAGACAUUCUUUAUAAAAUAGUCCAAAGCUUAAACAUUAAUCAAGUUUACAGUUUAUUUUGAGUAUCAAUCUACAUUUGCUAGUGAGAUUCAUAAUGUUACCAUUUUUUUUAAAGACAUUUUCACAGAGUUCAAUUUUUUUUUACAUGAAACUGCAAACAAAAAAAGCUAAAAAAACUUUACAAUAUGCAAGUCAAUACCCAUCAAAUGAUGCAAAAGCCUGAAGCUAUCUGCUAAGUAUAAAAUGGGACUUAUUUCAAAACAUUGCAUAGUGAAUCUGUUUAAUUAUCUAUUUUUUUAAUAUCAUAUUUUAUUUCAUAAGUUUCCUCCAAAUUUAUUUUUAGAAUCCAUUUUAUUAAUGACCCAAAGGAACAUUUCAGGAAUACAACCUUCUUUCCAUAGUCAAACUAGGCAUUUAAAAUUUGUAUGGAUGACUAAGCUCCUGCCAAAUCUUUCUUGGUUCCUUUUUUUUUCAUUCAUAUAUGAAUGUGAAGUGAAAAAAACAAACUGGUAAGAUUUUUCAACACAAAAACAUACAUUAAUUCAUUAAGGCAAGUUGACGCAUAGCUUUUGAUUGUCUGAUCAAAAUUUAUUCAAUUUUUUAAAGAUUGUUUAUUACAAGUGCUUUUGUUGUGAGUUUUAAAAAAAAAUCUUUAUAUAUUUUUCAAAGAAAUGGUAGAGUGCAAAUUUUCCAGUGUUGCAAUUUAUGUUCAGCAAAUCACUUUAGCCUUCACAGUUAUUGACCAAUUAUCUUUGCUUUUACGUCAAGUUAUUGACCAAUCAUCUUUGCUUUUACAACCAUGUUUGGUCCAUCUAUGCUUGCACAAUCCAGUUUUGUCACACAUUCUGUUUUAAUAGUUUAAAAUGUUCACUAAUAAUCUAUUUAUAUUCACUGUCAUUUCGAAACCUUACCAUUAAAGAAAACAAAUGAAUGAAACAUAAAAAACCUUCAAUACAUUUCUUUUUAAAUUGAUAUAAUGACUAGUUAAGUUAUGUAUGUUUCCAGACCCUAAAAAACUUUUUGCACAUACAAUGAAAAGCAAGAAAUAAUUCAUGAAAUUAACAA
rnacentral:lncRNA from 1 species